CGAAAUUAAAAUCAAUGGGGGCUUUUCUGUUUGGGUGAGGAGACGCUCUGAAUUCAUUCCAGUUUUAAGCAGUUUCUUAAUUUGUACUUUCUCAUUAAAAUUUUGGCAUCCAUGCCGAGCAGCGUUGCAGUUAAUAUUUUCCGUUUCCUUUCGGUAAAGUGUAUUUUGAGCUCAUGCAACAAGAGAUUAACGAACAAGAAUCUUUGUUUAUUUAUGGCUUUGCUGGAAAAGAAAGCAGGUAGGAUGGAGCUAACUUCAGACCUUAAUGUCCAAAGAAGAUAUAACUCCAAGUACAAGACAGAAGUACCAAUAGAAAUUCCUUAGGGAAGAUAAUGACAAAAUUUAAAGAAACAGCUCUUCCAAUGGAUCUUAAUAGACCUUCAUAAUUCUUUUCAGUAAUGAAGAAAUAUGAAAGGCAUUCUCAUUUAUGUGAUUCAUCUGAAUAAAUGAAAUCUUCGAAAAAAAAAUACCUGCCGCAAAAUGCUGAUGCUAUUCUACUGUCACUGCAUGCAGUUAUGUGUAUAAAAUCUCCACACCAGUGAAGAUCAAGCAUUCGUGGAAGAAAGAACAAGUCAAUCAGGCAUAUUUGUGGAAACUUUAGAAAAAUAAAUUUAAAAAAAUGGC